UGCCGCCUUCGCCACGGAUGUUCCUCCCGAUAUCUACGCAUUUCACUGCUACACCGGGAAUUCCGCACCCCUCUACCGCACUCCAGAUCGCCAGUAUCCAAUGCAGUUCCCAGGUUGAGCCCAGGGCUUUCACAUCAGACUUAACGAACCACCUACGCACGCUUUACGCCCAGUAAUUCCGAGUAACGCUUGCACCCUUCGUAUUACCGCGGCUGCUGGCACGAAGUUAGCCGGUGCUUAUUCUUUGGGUACCGUCAGCCCCGCCGGGUAUUAGCCGACAGGAUUUCUUCCCCAACAAAAGAGCUUUACAACCCGAAGGCCUUCUUCACUCACGCGGCAUGGCUGGAUCAGGCUUGCGCCCAUUGUCCAAUAUUCCCCACUGCUGCCUCCCGUAGGAGUCUGGACCGUGUCUCAGUUCCAGUGUGGCUGAUCAUCCUCUCAGACCAGCUACGGAUCGUCGCCUUGGUGGGCCUUUACCCCGCCAACUAGCUAAUCCGGCAUCGGCUCAUCUCUCUGCGUGAGGCCUUGCGGUCCCCCACUUUCUCCCGUAGGACGUAUGCGGUAUUAGCGUAAGUUUCCCUACGUUAUCCCCCACAAAGAGGCAGAUUCCGAUGCAUUCCUCACCCGUCCGCCGCUCGCCGGCAUCCCGAAGGACCCGCUGCCGCUCGACUUGCAUGUGUUAGGCCUGCCGCCAGCGUUCACUCUGAGCCAGGAUCAAACUCU
rnacentral:rRNA from 1 species